rnacentral:rRNA from 1 species
AGUCGAGGGGCAUCAGUUUGGUUUGCUUGCGAACCAAAGCUGGCGACCGGCGCACGGGUGAGUAACACGUAUCCAACCUGCCUCAUACUCGGGGAUAGCCUUUCGAAAGAAAGAUUAAUAUCCGAUAGCAUAUAUUUCCCGCAUGGGUUUUAUAUUAAAGAAAUUCGGUAUGAGAUGGGGAUGCGUUCCAUUAGUUUGUUGGGGGGGUAACGGCCCACCAAGACUACGAUGGAUAGGGGUUCUGAGAGGAAGGUCCCCCACAUUGGAACUGAGACACGGUCCAAACUCCUACGGGAGGCAGCAGUGAGGAAUAUUGGUCAAUGGACGCGAGUCUGAACCAGCCAAGUAGCGUGAAGGAUGACUGCCCUAUGGGUUGUAAACUUCUUUUAUAUGGGAAUAAAGUUGUCCACGUGUGGAUUUUUGUAUGUACCAUAUGAAUAAGGAUCGGCUAACUCCGUGCCAGCAGCCGCGGUAAUACGGAGGAUCCGAGCGUUAUCCGGAUUUAUUGGGUUUAAAGGGAGCGUAGGCGGAUUGUUAAGUCAGUUGUGAAAGUUUGCGGCUCAACCGUAAAAUUGCAGUUGAUACUGGCAGUCUUGAGUGCAGUAGAGGUGGGCGGAAUUCGUGGUGUAGCGGUGAAAUGCUUAGAUAUCACGAAGAACUCCGAUUGCGAAGGCAGCUCACUGGAGUGUAACUGACGCUGAUGCUCGAA